rnacentral:rRNA from 1 species
GUCUACAGCCAUGCCACCCUGAACGUGCCCAAUCUCGCCUGAUCUCGGAAGCUAAGCAGGGUCCAACCUGGUUAAUACUUGGAUGGGAGACCACCCAGGAACACCAGGUG